UACGUAGGGUGCAAGCGUUGUCCGGAAUUAUUGGGCGUAAAGAGCUCGUAGGCGGUCUGUUAAGUUUGGAGUGACAGUUGGUGGCUUAACUGCCAAAGUGCUUCGAAAACUGACAGACUUGAGGGCUUCAGAGGGACACGGAAUUCCGGGUGGAGUGGUGAAAUGCGUAGAGAUCCGGAGGAACACCAAAGGCGAAGGCAGUGUCCUGGGGAGUACCUGACGCUCAGGUGCGAAAGCCAGGGGAGCGAACGGG
rnacentral:rRNA from 1 species